rnacentral:rRNA from 1 species
CAGUAGGGAAUCUUCCGCAAUGGACGAAAGUCUGACCGAGCAACGCCGCGUGAGUGAUGAAGGUUUUCGGAUCGUAAAACUCUGUUGUUAGGGAAGAACAAGUGUGUGAGUAACUACUCACGCCUUGACGGUAUCUAACCAGAAAGCCACGGCUAACUACGUGCCAGCAGCCGCGGUAAUACGUAGGUGGCAAGCGUUUUCCGGAAUUAUUGGGCGUAAAGCGCGCGCAGGCGGUUUUUUAAGUCUGAUGUGAAAGCCCCCGGCUCAACCGGGGAGGGUCAUUGGAAACUGGGAAACUUGAGUGCAGAAGAGGAGAGUGGAAUUCCACGUGUAGCGGUGAAAUGCGUAGAGAUAUGGAGGAACACCCGUGGGGAAGGCGGCUUUCUGGUCUGUAACUGACGCUGAGGCGCGAAAGCGUGGGGAGCGAACAGGAUUAGAUACCCCGGUAGUCCACGCCCUAAACGAUGAGUGCUAAGUGUUGGGGGGUUUCUCCGCCCUCAGUGCGCAGCGGACGGCGUCGAGGCACGGCGCGGGAAACUGAGACAUAGUCGC